GGGCCAUAGCUCAGUGGAUGAGCAUCUGUUCUGUGUGCAGAAGGUCCUAGUUUUGAUCCCUGGCAUCUCCA